AUGAUAUAGUACUGGUUUUAAUGAUAGAAUUGUAUUAGCCUAUAUUCAACCACAUAGUUCUCUCUGAUUUCUGCAGCCUACAGGAUCCCAUCUCUAGCUGAAAUUCCCUCCAGUCUAAACUGCCACUUGCUUUUGCUAUAUUUUACAGGGAAUGGAAUUUGCUGCUUCAGGAUAUAGCAAAUAUCAGAUGCUGUAAGUCUGAACAUCUCCUGCCUUCUCUUGGGAUUUACCGCUACCAGAGACUGGUGGGGAUAGUGACUGCAGAUCCAUGGAUCCCUUCACUCACUCAUCCAUGAGCAUCAACUGUACCCAGAUCUUUCAUUUCCCAUACUCAUAAGGAUCCUGUCAGAUGUAGCUGAAGGGCUGCAUUACCAGCCUUCAGCCUGCUGUCUGCUACUGCAGCCUGAAACCUUCCAACAUCCUUUUGGAUGCACAGUGCAGAGCCAAGAUAACAGUCUAACCAACUGGAGGCAUCAGAAACAGAAGUCAGACCUUCAGAACUGUCAGAGAAAAUGCCAGGAUUUAGUGUACAUCGCUCCUGAAAUACUUGAAAGAGGUCCUUCUUCACAGGAAGUUCUGGUAUACUGUGCUGGGAGAGCAUAGACAGACAGAAACCCUUUGAAGGUAUUUUUCUAUCGCUCACAUCUGAUUUUGUUGCAGCGGUGUUUCCUACAAAUUCCUUUACUAUAGAGAAAUGAUGACACCAACAGCACUGUCUGUUCAAAUAGCCCUCUGCCUUUUGUUACAGUUAGAACACAGUUUGUGUAAAGCAUGAUGUAACAGUUGCCAUAGUCUAAGAAUGAUCCCCCAUCUAUAGUGGUGGGCAUCGAAGAAAGACUUGGUUGCUAUAGGCUCAGUUCUGUAUGACAGAGCUGAUUGAAGGUCUCCUGCAUUUUGCAGUCUGAGAAGUGUAAUAACAUUGUGUAGAACGGUACGGUGCUAUUCACACAGCUUUCACCUACCACUGCCAUCUCGUGGCUGCACCUCUUCUUAGGACUGAUACACACUGUAAGGCUUUAUAUAAAAACCUUGUGAUAUA
rnacentral:lncRNA from 1 species